rnacentral:rRNA from 1 species
UGGGGAAUCUUGCACAAUGGGGGCAACCCUGAUGCAGCGACGCCGCGUGAGCGAUGAAGGUUUUCGAAUCGUAAAGCUCUGUCCUAUGGGAAGAUAAUGACGGUACCAUAGGAGGAAGCCCCGGCUAACUACGUGCCAGCAGCCGCGGUAAUACGUAGGGGGCGAGCGUUGUCCGGAAUUACUGGGCGUAAAGGGUUCGCAGGCGGCCUGGCAAGUCCGAUGUAAAAGGCGAAGGCUCAACCUUCGUAAGCAUCGGAAACUGUCAAGCUUGAGUGAAGGAGAGGAAAGUGGAAUUCCUAGUGUAGCGGUGAAAUGCGUAGAUAUUAGGAGGAAUACCGGUGGCGAAGGCGACUUUCUGGACUUUUACUGACGCUCAGGUACGAAAGCGUGGGGAGCAAACAGG